rnacentral:rRNA from 1 species
UACGUAGGGGGCUAGCGUUGUCCGGAAUCAUUGGGCGUAAAGGGUGUGUAGGCGGUUCUUUAAGUUUGGUGUGAAAUCUCCCGGCUCAACUGGGAGGGUGCGCCGAAUACUGAGGGACUAGAGUACGGGAGAGGAAAGUGGAAUUCCUGGUGUAGCGGUGAAAUGCGUAGAUAUCAGGAGGAACACCGGUGGUGUAGACGGCUUUCUGGACCGUAACUGACGCUGAGACACGAAAGCGUGGGUAGCAAACAGG